UAGCAGGGCUGUUGCUAGCAUAAAUACCCCCUAAGACUCAUUGUAAUAAAAGACUUUGAGAAUUGAAAUACAUAACCCCUUUGUUCAGCUGCGUGCUAACAAAUUCAGAGAGUGAUCUCUACCCCUUUGCUCUUAUGUUUUCCUUCGCGGAGAUUACAGAAGCGGCCGCAUCAUCGGCACCCAAUCCGUGCUCCUGAUUCUCGAGUUCAGGUUGCGUAGGUUGGUUCUUUGAGAGUGUGGUUGGGCGAAUCCUUGGUUCAGGCUGCCGUAUAGAGACGGUGGUUGGCUCCUUGUGCGUGUCGUCAGGUUGCACUAGUUAUCCUCGCUGCUUGCAGCAAGUUAUCGGCUGAUCUUCAGCUAGUUAUCCAUCCUACGUCGUGAAGAUCGGGACAACGACCUCACCAUCUGGUAUCAAAGCUCAAGUUUCCACGGUAGGAUUUUUACCCUUAGCAACAUAUAUAUAUCUUGUUCGUCCUAUCCACCAAAAAGCCAUAAAAAAAAUUGCAUUAGCCCUUUGUUUCAGUCUGUUUUUCUUGUGAGUUUGGUUAAGUUUCAGUCCAUUAGAGUUUUGUUUAGUUGCUGAUCAUCAUAUCCUUUGUGUGUCCUUUGUGCCUCUUUUAUAUCUACAAAUCCCUAAAGAAAAUCUGAAACCGGUAUCAUCCUUCGCGUAAACUUUGAUCCUAUCAAGUUAGAACGCUGACGGUUGUGUCUUGUUUAAAAAAAAAGUGUGUGUAAGUGUUAUAUCUGCUCUUGUUCUUAGUUAUAAAAAAACAAAGUAUCAAAAAAAAGGAAAGUGAAAAAAAAGAGAGUUGAGGAAGAAAAGUUGUGAAGAUAGAGUAGAAAAUUCACUCUGUUUAUGUGCUCAAGUUCUGAAUUUUAUAUCAAGUCACACAAUCAGUCAUUAUCCAUCUUUGGUGCAAAAUUUUGCUUGGGUUUGAUUGCAACACUUGCAUCCUAGGCAUACUCCUUGUUUGCAUCAAAUCUGAAUUAUCUUUGCGCGUGUGUUUGAUCUAUUUACAUCACUCAUAUCUUGUGGUCAGCACUAGGCAUUGAACUUCUAGUUUGGAUUGUGGUUUAACUUUACAAUAUCAAGAAUUCAGACUGCAUUCCUUGUGAAAUAUAUCCCCACCAAGCUCCACAAAUAACCCACCGUCAUAGGAAAAUACUGAUCUUGGAUUCUCCCAACCAUCAUUCUCGGUUACCACCUCGCAUUGGCCGUUGUAAUCUGCGGGGAACUCACAUGAGCUUCGGUUGGUAAGAGAGGUGAGGUUGUGAGAUUCCACAUAUAAUUCCCUAUUCUACAUAUAUUGUUGCUUUGCCUUCACUAAUUUUUUACAGCA
rnacentral:lncRNA from 1 species